GAUGAACGCUAGCGGCAGGCCUAAUACAUGCAAGCCGAACGGUAAGAUUGGUAGCAAUACUGAUCUGAGAGUGGCGUACGGGUGCGUAACACGUAUGCAACCUACCCGAAACUGGAGGAUAGCUCAGGGAAACUUGGAUUAACCCUCCAUAAGAUCGUGUACAGGCAUCUGUAUGCGAUAAAAACCGCGAGGUGGUUUCGGAUGGGCAUGCGCAUGAUUAGCUAGUUGGUGGUGUNNCGGACUACCAAGGCGAUGAUCAUUAGGGGACCUGAGAGGGUGAUCCCCCACACUGGCACUGAGAUACGGGCCAGACUCCUACGGGAGGCAGCAGUAGGGAAUAUUGGUCAAUGGGUGCAAGCCUGAACCAGCCAUGCCGCGUGCAGGAAGACGGCCUUCUGGGUUGUAAACUGCUUUUGCCAGGGGAUAAAAGACCGAUGCGUCGGGAAUUGAAGGUACCUGGUGAAUAAGCCACGGCUAACUAC
rnacentral:rRNA from 1 species